GGAGUAGCCUUGGCGAUCGCGGGAUUGAAAAAUCCGGAGGAAAGUCCGAACACCAAAGGGCAGGACGCUCCAUAACGUGGAGUCGCGGUGACGUGAAGGAAAGUGCAACAGAGAGCAGACCGCCAGACAUUUAAUCUCUAUGGAUAUGUCGGUUGCCAGUCCAAUCUAUUGACCUGGCUAUAAUAAAUUCAUGGGUAUAAUAUUUUAUGUCUGGUAAGGGUGAAACGGUGCGGUAAGAGCGCACCAGUUUUCCAGGUGACUGGAAAAGCUUUGUAAACCCCGUCCGGUGCAAGACCAAAUAGGGAGGCGUUUGAGGGCUGCCCGCCUGAAGCCUCCGGGUAGGUCGCAUGAGGUGUGCGGUAACGUACAUCCCAGAUGAAUGAUCGCUGCUCUGGAUCAGGGUAACCUUACCAGAGAACAGAAUUCGGCUUACGGGCUGCUCUCACC
rnacentral:RNase_P_RNA from 1 species